rnacentral:rRNA from 1 species
GAUCAUUANCGAAUUAUAANGGGGAGUUGAUGCUGGCAAACCAUUCUUUGGCUGCAUGUGCUCGCCCUCAACAAUCUUCAUGACACACCUGUGCACCUUCUGAGGGUUUUCCGAGUAGAUUGCUGUUUCUGGCGAUCUUUCUUAGAUUCCCUCUUUUACAUACACUAUUAUAAUAUUGAACGUGCUCGUGCCGAUAAGGCCUUAAUAAAAUACAACUUUUAACAACGGAUCUCUUGGCUCUCGCAUCGAUGAAGAACGCAGCGAAAUGCGAUAAGUAAUGUGAAUUGCAGAAUUCAGUGAAUCAUCGAAUCUUUGAACGCAUCUUGCGCUCCCUGGUAUUCCGGGGAGCACGCCUGUUCGAGUGUCGUGAAAUUCUCAAGCUAGACCCUUUUUUGUAAAUGAGAAGUGGUCUUAGCUUGGUUAUUGGGCUUUGCCGUCUCCUUCGUUGGAACGGCUGGCCUUAAAAGCAUUAGCUGACCCUCAUGAUGGCAAUUGGUUCUACUCAGCGUGAUAAUAAUCUGACCGCUGAGGACAUCUUUCGGGAUGGCCAGUUCUCGUUUGGGUUGCUUUCUAAUCUGGCUUAUGGGUUGCUAAUAGCAAUCUAUUCCAUCUUCAAUUUUGACCUCGAAUCAGGUGGG